AGUUUGAUCCUGGCUCAGGAUGAACGCUGGCGGCGUGCUUAACACAUGCAAGUCGAGCGAAGCACUUUUUUAGAACUCUUCGGAGGGAAGAGAGGGUGACUUAGCGGCGGACGGGUGAGUAACGCGUGGGCAACCUGCCUUACACAGGGGGAUAACAAUUAGAAAUGAUUGCUAAUACCGCAUAAGACCCCGGUACCGCAUGGUACAGAGGUAAAAACUGAGGUGGUGUAAGAUGGGCCCGCGUCUGAUUAGGUAGUUGGUGGGGUAGAAGCCUACCAAGCCGACGAUCAGUAGCCGACCUGAGAGGGCGACCGGCCACAUUGGGACUGAGACACGGCCCAAACUCCUACGGGAGGCAGCAGUGGGGAAUAUUGCACAAUGGGGGAAACCCUGAUGCAGCGACGCCGCGUGAGUGAGGAAGUAUUUCGGUAUGUAAAGCUCUAUCAGCAGGGAAGAAAAUGACGGUACCUGACUAAGAAGCCCCGGCUAACUACGUGCCAGCAGCCGCGGUAAUACGUAGGGGGCAAGCGUUAUCCGGAUUUACUGGGUGUAAAGGGAGCGUAGACGGAUAAGCAAGUCUGAUGUGAAAAUCCGGGGCCCAACCCCGGAAUUGCAUUGGAAACUGCAUAUCUAGAGUGUCGGAGAGGCAAGUGGAAUUCCUGGUGUAGCGGUGAAAUGCGUAG
rnacentral:rRNA from 1 species